GGUUCGGUGGUCUAGGGGUAUGAUUCUCGCUUAGGGUGCGAGAGGUCCCGGGUUCAAAUCCCGGCCAAACCC
rnacentral:tRNA from 1 species